rnacentral:rRNA from 1 species
UACGGAGGAUGCGAGCGUUAUCCGGAUUUAUUGGGUUUAAAGGGUGCGUAGGCGGGAUGCCAAGUCAGCGGUAAAAAUGCGGUGCUCAACGCCGUCGAGCCGUUGAAACUGGCGUUCUUGAGUGGGCGAGAAGUAUGCGGAAUGCGUGGUAUAGCGGUGAAAUGCAUAGAUAUCACGCAGAACUCCGAUUGCGAAGGCAGCAUACCGGCGCCCUACUGACGCUGAGGCACGAAAGCGUGGGUAUCGAACAGG